GUGACUAAGAAGGCAGCUGCCCAGAACAGGAAGGGCUGAGGUUCAUGUGACAAGCCACCAGCCUUCACCAGAACAAAUAAAGCAGGGAAGAAAUAAAACUCAGUCUUUCCACAAAUCUGAAGGUUUACAGUAAAUGUACUUUGGGAAGUUGCCCAGAAGGUGAAAUUGUCCAUCUGAAAUUGUCCAUCUGGGGCAAGUGGAAAAGUGUUCCUGAAGGAAAACCAUCUGACUGCUGCAAAGCUUGACUGCACACUAGCAUCUUGUGCAACACAUCAUCUCAUCAUGUGUGAUACUCCACACGGAUCGUUUUGUCUUGCGUAACUUUUCAUUGUGGGAACUUUGCUCUAGAUUUGAGUCAUUUCCUGUUAAAAUUCUACAUUCACCUCAUGGUGCUAAAAGGUUCACUGGUCUUAUGAUCAGAUGGAUGAAUAACAGCCAUGCUGUCUAGCUUUGAACUUUGCUCUGGUUUGUGUUUGCAGUGGCAUACAUUCCCCUGUGAACUUUCACCUAGAUAUCUAAUUCCCUGCAAUUAUUAAUAGUACUGCAGGUAGGCUUAAUAAUUCUUUUUACUCUUCUGAUAUUUGAUAUAUCUAAAUAUUUCAUAAACAUUAUUAGCACAUACAUUUAAACCACUGUUUUCCAUCUCAGCCAGAGAAAACAUUUGUCUCUUUUUUAUCCUGUAUCACUUAUAAUGAUGAAUACUUAUCCUUGAGCCCUAAUAAUAACGAAUACUUAUCAUGGAGCCCUUACCUCAAGGCAGGCAUUGUCCUACUAAGACCUUUAAGAAAUGCUCUGAAGCUAGGUACAGUGGGGCAUGCCUAUAAUCCCAGCAGCUCUGGAGGCUGAGGCCAGAGAAUAGUGAGUUCAAAGCCAGCCUCAGCAAGUUAGUGAGGCCCUAAA